rnacentral:rRNA from 1 species
AGGACGAACGCUGGCGGCGUGCUUAACACAUGCAAGUGGAGCGACGAACCAGGGCUUGCCCUGGGGCAGAGCCGCGAACGGGUGAGUAACACGUGGGUUACCUGCCUCGAUGACCGGGACAACCCGAGGAAACUCGGGCUAAUACCGGAUGUGCCCGCAAGGGGAAAGGAAGCUUCGGCCUCCGCAUCGAGAUGGGCCCGCGGCCCAUUAGCUUGUUGGUGAGGUAACGGCUCACCAAGGCUUCGAUGGGUAGCUGGUCUGAGAGGACGAUCAGCCACACUGGGACUGAGACACGGCCCAGACUCCUACGGGAGGCAGCAGUGGGGAAUCUUGCGCAAUGCGCGAAAGCGUGACGCAGCAACGCCGCGUGGGGGAAGAAGGCUUUCGGGUUGUAAACCCUUUCAGUUGGGACGAAGCUUCGCCGGUGAAUAGCCGGCUGGAGUGACGGUACCUUCACAAGAAGCACCGGCUAACGUACGUGCCAGCAGCCGC